UACGUAGGGGGCAAGCGUUGUCCGGAAUCAUUGGGCGUAAAGCGCGUGUAGGCGGCCCGGUAAGUCCGCUGUGAAAGUCGGGGGCUCAACCCUCGAAUGCCGGUGGAUACUGUCGGGCUAGAGUGCGGGAGAGGCGAGUGGAAUUCCUGGUGUAGCGGUGAAAUGCGCAGAGAUCGGGAGGAACACCCGUAGCGAAGGCGGGUCUCUGGGCCGAUACUGACGCUGAGGAGCGAAAGCGUGGGGAGCGAACAGG
rnacentral:rRNA from 1 species